UCCGUAGGUGAACCUGCGGUACUGCAUUUUUUCUUACACAUGUGUUUUUCUUUUUUUGAAAACUUUGCUUUGGUAGGCCUUCUAUAUGGGGCCUGCAGAGAUUAAACUCAACCAAAUUUUAUUUAAUGUCAACCGAUUAUUUAAUAGUCAAAACUUUCAACAACGGAUCUCUUGGUUCUCGCAUCGAUGAAGAACGCAGCGAAAUGCGAUAAGUAAUAUGAAUUGCAGAUAUUCGUGAAUCAUCGAAUCUUUGAACGCACAUUGCGCCCUUUGGUAUUCCAAAGGGCAUGCCUGUUUGAGCGUCAUUUCUCCCUCAAACCCUCGGGUUUGGUGUUGAGCGAUACGCUGGGUUUGCUUGAAAGAAAGGCGGAGUAUAAACUAAUGGAUAGGUUUUUUCCACUCAUUGGUACAAACUCCAAAACUUCUUCCAAAUUCGACCUCAAAUCAGGUAGGACUACCCGCUGAACUCAAGCAUAUACAACCCGGGGGNAAAUCUUCU
rnacentral:rRNA from 1 species